UAUAUGCUCAAAGAUAGUAAAGGAAGCUGAAACAAAUCUACAGCUAUAUGCCAAUAUACUAUUACAAUCUGACAAUAACUAUCUGUAGAAAAUGCAAUCUCUGACCCAAUCUCUUUCGGGACUGUGAACACACCCGUCCCGCUUGUCGAAGCUACACUAACUGUUACCACGCUAGGUCGUCAGUAGAGAGCAAGUCCAAACAGGACAAACCGACAUCAAUGCAAAAGCACUAACCCCGACUGCAGAGCGGUACUCGCGGGCACUACCCAACCGAGUAUGAAUGUAUGUCUCUGCCGAGCUCAAUCAGGCUCUCACGGGCUGUAAUCAAAGUAGAAAGGUCUCACUGGUCGAACAACCACAAUCUACGUGCUCUCAGCACAAUCUGAUGCAAAAACUGCAAAUUGGGUCCAUCGUCAACCACAACGGCACCCGACAGUUCGGAACAGUUUGUACACUAUUGUAAAAAUACACUUGACAUCUCAGCACGAGCGUAAAUACAUUCUACACUAUUCUGGGUAUCCACCGCCUACAAACUGCAGCGAUACAAACAAACUAC
rnacentral:lncRNA from 1 species